rnacentral:lncRNA from 1 species
AGCUCCUUGUAGACCUGCGACGCGUCGGUGCAGCCGAACAUGGGCAGCUUCCACAUGGUCCAGUAGCGGCCGUCGUAGUAGCACGGGGAGGUGGAGUUCUCGCGGUACACGAAGCCUUCCUUGCUGAACUCGAGGCAGGGCACCCAGUUGUUGCGCAGCAGGUAGUCCACCUGCUUCAGCAGCUGCUCCUCCGUCAGCGGCGGCAGGUACGACAGCGUCUCGAACUUCUUGUUCCCGUACGCCGGCCACACCUGCAAAUUAAUGCAUGCAUCGAUCGAUGUACGUGUUUGUGGUUGCAUUUCGCUAGCUCUGCUGCAAAGAAUGAAUGAAGAUGGCCGGCCGGAGCCAAGAACGAAAGGCCAACUAGCUCUUGUGUUAAUUAUGUUGUUAUUACCUGCAUGCACCGGAUCCUGCCGCCGUUGCUGACUUUGGCGAGGCUGGUGGUGGAGCGGCGGGCGACGGGGAGGGUGGCGGUGGACUUGAGACCCUGGAACGGAGCGACGGCGGUGGCGGACGAGGCCAUCACGGUGGGCGCCAUUGCUGCUGCUAUGUAGUACUAGUAGCUAGUGAGGGAGCGAGCUGAGAGUGAGCUGCUUGCUGUUUUUGCUGCUUCUUGCUGCUUGG